AACCCCGGAGAAUCCCAUUGAUUUGGGUGCCGAAGGUGCAAACGGAGAAAUCCGUCAAUCUCUCAGGCAAAAGGACGGGGCGUG
rnacentral:ncRNA from 1 species